rnacentral:lncRNA from 1 species
CCCGGCACGGCCCGGCCCGGAUUUAGCCACGGGCCGGGCCGGGCCACUCUCCAGCCCGGUUCGGCCCGAAAAAUGUGGGCCCCACAUUACACCCCUACCUGGACCUAACGAGAUCAUUAAGGUUUAAAGGGGCAAGUCGUAGGCCACGCAUUCUUGUAAUAAUAAAUAGACUUAAGCAUUUUGGGCCAAUAGUUUACGUCUAAGAGUUAUUAUUGUUGUUACACUAUAUGUGACACCUUUAAGAUUUGGAAUAGGCAUAUAUAAGAUAUAAUAGGUUAAACCUCUUAACUCGAUUAUAGCAUUUUGGAUGGUGACUAGACCCAAGAGGUUAAGAAGAUUAAGUAUACUAGGACGAAUAGUUCUAGAAUAAGUGACCUCUUGGAAGUGGGGCGUCAUAAUUAGUAUUAGAACCAAUCACCAGCCAAAAAAUAUGAUAUAAGUCUUGGCUGAGCUAGAAUUAUACAACACGCUGAUAAACGUUGUGGGUAGAGUGUGGCUCCCCACAAUGUCGGCUAAAGGCUGGUGAGACGACUCUCACAUCGUCUGCUGCUUAUGAAUGUGCUUGAGCCUGAAGAGAACGUUAAGGCUUUAAGAGGGAAGGAAUGUGACACUCCUAGGAUUUGGAUUAGUCAUAUAUAUAUAUAUAUAUAUAUAUAUAGAGAGAGAGAGAGAGAGAGAGAGAGAGAGUUGAGCAAGAAUGCUAUCGAUAACAAACGGGCUCCGUUGCCACCCAUUUGUUUUCGGUGAUAGAGCCUCCAAAUCGACGAUCGGCACCGUUAAAUAUGAUCUAUACCAUUUGAAGUGUUUAGAAAUCAAAUUUCAUAUAUUUUCGAUAUUGUUCUCUUAUCCAUCGAGUGGACACAAAAAUGAAUGGCUAAAAAUAAAUAUUCUUUAAAAAAUAAUGAUAUGAGUCUUGUAAUCAAGAUCAAGAGUAUAGAUCUUGUUUUAAAUAGUUUAAAGAAUUUUCUAACAAAAAUUCAAUUGAUUUGAAUAUCUUUACGCCGUUAAACGAGAAAACGCCUCAUAUCGACCGUUAAAAUUACAAAUUUUGAAACCCUUUGAUUAUUAGGCAAAUAAUGUCAAAAAGAUUUGAAAUUUGAUUUCUAAACACUUCAAGUGGUAUAGAUCAUGUUCAACGGUGCCGAUCGUCGAUUUGGAGGCUCUAUCAUCGAAAACAAAUGGUGGCAACGGAGCCCGUUUGCUAUCGUUAGUAAUUCUAGCAAUUAUAUAUAUAUAUAUAUAUAUAUAUAUACUCAUAACUUUUCGGCCGUUCAGAUGAAAAAAUGUGCGGUUGGGAUGAAAGUGGUUACGGUUAGGUUGAUAGUGGGCCCCCUAGGGUUGAGUGGGUGGUUAGUUGAAUAGUAUAAUCUAACGGGUGAAAAUGAUUAAAGGGUAGAUCAAACGGUAAAAAAUUUAUGAGUACAAAAGGCUCUAUACUCAUAAGAGUAUAGUAGCCGGACUCUAUAUAUAUAUAUGUAAGAUAUUAGUGUAGAAACUCUUGUAGGAAUCUGCCACAGGCCAUAUCGAGAAUCUCACAUUAUAUGCUAAUUUUGGUCUAACCAACUCUUGAACCUUGAACCGGUAAGAGCUACCUCUAAAAUCUCACAUAAUUUAGAUCUU